rnacentral:lncRNA from 1 species
CCAAUCUAUUGUUUGUGUCAAUAUUAAAUAAGUUUUCCAACUUGAAUAAAUGAAUUCCAUGACUUUGUUCCAAAAAAGAAAAAAAAAUAAUAAUACUAUUAAAUUGUCACAUUGGACAAUUCAAUAAACCUCAAAAUAAUAGUGUAUAAUAUGUUGGAGAAUGUUGGAGAGAAAAAAUCAUUAGCUAAUCAAAGUCACUUAGGGUGUUGGAAAAUUAUGAUAUUUAGCAUUAAGGGAAAUAUAAAAAUAUAUAUGGAACCCACAAUCAUUGAUAUCAUUAAUUGGUUGAUAAUUAAACUUUGAUAUGAAGUAAGUGAUCAUAAAUUAUUGGUUGAUAUAAAAUCAUAUAUGGGAUGUUUGCUAUGAGAAUCCAAAGAAACCUAUGUGGCAAUAGUUUGAUAACAAUAAAUGUGGUCAUUCUCUACUAUUAAAACUAAUUACUCACAUACAUCACUAUGUCACAAUAAUGUUAGUACCAAAAAUAUAAUGUGUUUUCUUACAUAACAAUUUGAUUAAAUUUAGAUCUUUUUUUUUUUUUUUUUUUUUUUGUAUGUAACAUUAAAGUUUUAUAAAACUUUCAUUCAACUAAGUUUUAAAUUUAAGUACUCUCUUAUCUUAAUUUUCUGGCAAGGUAAAAUAAUCAAUGCAUAUUCAAUCCAAAUUAAAUUCACAUUCCAUUUUCGAAUUAAGAUGAGAAUAAAAAAACAAAACAUAAAUGCUAAAUACUUUAAAGUUCUAAAUCUUUUAAUAGAUAAUAUAGUGUAUAAUAUUCACUCGGAAUCAUUAUUCUAUUUUUUGCAAGUAAAAAUAGAAAAUAGAAAAUUUAAUAUUUAUUGAUUAUAAUUUAAAACUUUUUCUGGUUAAGAAUAUUAUAUUGCAUAGUAGAAACUUUUAUUUUUCAAUUAUUGAAAUGAAUUUAGAAAUUAUUAGAGAACACAUGGAUGAGAGUAGUUUUUCUUUGAGCUUGUGGAUAUCUAUUUGAAUCAUUUUUUUGUUUUCUAACAAUUUCUUUCCCAUUCCUUAAAGAACAUUGAAUUCAUAAUAAAUUAAAAAGGAAAAAGGAAAAACAGGAUUUAAGACGGUAAAUUUCAAAAUGGGUCUCUAACUUUUUUAUUUCUAAAAAAACCCACGAACCUUUGACCUUCAUGUGAUACUAAAUUUGAAUAAACAUAUUUAAGAAAUAAAUGAAAUAAAUUAACAAACUACAGGUUAGAAAAUGAGAGUAAAGUUGAUUUCAGAUAGCAGAAAAAUAAAGAACCAAACAAAAUUCAACUUGAUACCAAAUGAAGUUUAAAAGGCUAUGAAAAAAGAAAAACUAAAAUCCAAAUGAUCAAACUACCUAAAAAUUUCACACUAACGUUUUUAUCAAUUAAGAAAAUAGUCAGCCUCUUACAGACCUCUCCCCGGUUAAAUCACCAAACACACAUCCACACAAAUCAAAAUUUUCUAUAUAUGCUACAAUUUAUUGUCUGCCGAUACAUGUAUAGUUCAAGAUCUACGAACAUUAAUGUUGACUCCAUAAAUAUUUAUAAAUAAAAAUAUAUAGUGUGAAGAAAUGAAAUGAAGUAUGAUACUGAUUUAGUGUUAGAAAUUUUCUCCGACACAAACAUAAGAAAGACAUUGGUUGUGUGUUUAGCCAAGCUUUCCAAAUCCAAGAGGCUCACUUGAGAGGCAUUAGUACAUAAUUGAGCAUAGAUUUUAGCAUGAAGGGUAGGUCCAAGUUUUUAUUGGAAUACUCUCACGAUUAAAGAUAAAUUUGUUUAUCCUUACAAACAAGUUUUAGAACAGGCAGAGUUUUUAUCUUUUUCAGGAGGGAAAC